GGUAUCAAACACUGAUGAAAUACGUGUUAGAGUUAUAUCUAAUGUGGACUCAAGAGUAACACAUGAGAGUCCAACAUAUAUAAACAUCUCGUGAAAUAAGUAAAUGAGGUUAAUCGAUAAUACUUAACUUGGAUAUUUAUCUUAGUAAUCUGAUUAGAUAAAUACAAGGAGUUUGAGAUAACAUAGAAUAUAUGUUAUAGUUAUCACAUAAGGUAAUUGAUUGGUUUAUUAGAGUUGCCUUGUGAGAUGGGAUUCUAAGUGACCUUGUCAAUAUAUAAAGGGGUCCCUGUGUAAGCUCAUUCUACGCCUGUAAGUUUUCAUACUCACUGUGAAGAGGCAAUCUGGAGAAUUACACAGAAGACUUCCUCUGCUCUAGCUUGAUGGCGUUGAACAUGAACAACCAAGGUUGGUGCUUCUAAUCCUUAUAUAUGUUUAUGUGUUCUUGUUUGCUGAAACAUGAUGCAAUGUGUUUAUGUUUAUAUGUGGUUUUCAGUUCAAUAGUUGGUAUCAGAGCCAACCACAUUUUUUCAUAAACCUUUGUUGUGUUAUGCAUGAUCGUUUGAAAAAUUUCUGGAAAUUUUUUCUUCUGCUAUGAACGCUGAUGAACACGAAUUGGGCCAAGAAUAUGUCGAGGCCCAAUAUACAAACCCGCACAGAAGCAUGAACCCAAUACCCGGUUAUAAAACAUGCGGAUCCUUGCGACCCGACCCUUUUCGUUUUGUUUUUUAAAAUCAAUUUCGACUGUUAUACACACAACGGUCAAGAACAAAAACCCAGAAUUGGGAAUUAGGGUUCUUCUGCCGAAAUUGAUCUUGGGGAUAAUUUUUUGCUGCUUAAAGGUUUGCUAUACAUGGUUAGUGUGCGAUUUUGAUUCUGAAAUACAUAUUGUUGUUACUAACUCUGUUUUUGCAAUCGCGGGAGCAUCCUGGUGCGUUUUCAAUCUCAAUGAAAUUUGAGAUUUUACUGUUUUGUGUGAUUGAAUCAUGCAUAUGAACCUUAGAACUCGCCUGGGGAGUAGGUUGAGGUGCCCAGAUGAAACUUCAAUUUCGAAUUGUUUGAAAGAUGGCAUGCAUGAUAUGGAAUGUGAAUUACUGGGAUUGUAUGUUUAUGAAUGAUUUGGUGAAAUUGUGGUGAUUCUGAGUACUUGAAUGUAUGAUCACGCAUAGCUUAAGAUUGAAAUUGACAGAUAUGUAUAUUUUUACUCCCAAAUCUAUAUAUAUGUUUGUUGAAAUAUCAAGAUUGAGCAUGAUUGGUUUUCUGAUAGUUUUAUGAAAUUGGAAUUGGGAAAACGUAAAGUAACGAUCACAGGUAUUUAGUUAAUAGAAAUUUUGAAAUACAUGUUGCCACAGCAAACUAUUUUUGAAUGGUUCUUGUAACUAAGGCACAUACCUGAAAAUUGCAUAUUUUUUGUUGAAAUAGGGACUGUAUCAUCUACAGAUGGCUUUAAACUUUACUUAUCUUUGAUAACAAAUGUGGUUCUAAAUAUGAUAUGUUUUACUUCUUAAAGUGCAGUAUGAUCCUUUCUUCUUGCCCACAGGUGUUGACUGAUCAUGUUGUAGGAAUUAAAAUAUGUUGUAGUUUAGGAAAACUAAGGAAUAACUUGUGCUUUGCCCACAGGUAGACUGGUUAUUGAAUUAGACUGAAAUACUAAUUUUGGUUUAAAAGUAUGCUUCUAUAUUUAUAUAUUCUGAAAAUGCUUAAACUAAAAUUUAUUUUAGUUUCUUACACUUUGUGUUAUAUGGAAUUACCUUGUUUUGUUUUGACACUUGAAGUGUUGUAUGAGAAAUGCCUGUUUUGGUAUGUUUCUGGUGUGAUUUUCAUGUUUUUUGAAAAUUUUACAUCUAUAUACUGAUAUAUAUAUAUAUCUAUAUGGAUAUAGAUAACCAGAAGUACUAAAACUUUUAUUUUCUUUUAUCUCUAUUUCCAGUUUUGACUCCUAUGAACGUAGGGAGUGUGAUGCCUU
rnacentral:lncRNA from 1 species